AUGGACUUCACGGCCCCCUCCUUCUCCCUCGGCCUCGGCUUCGACGACCCGCCCCCCGCCGACGCCGACGACGGAGGCGACCCGCGCGAGGAGCCGCGAGGGUACGAGGCGCCCGACGCGCCCUCCUUCUCUCUGGGUCUCGAUUUCGAGUGCUACGACGACGACGAGCCUCGGAUCCCUGCCGGAGGCCGCUCGGAGGAGCCGGCGCGGCGGUACGAGGCGCCUGAUGCCCCCUCGUUCUCCCUCGGCCUCGGCUUCGACGACGACGACGGGGGUGCCGGCGAGCCCCAGAUCCCCGCUGGAGCCCGCCGGGAGGAGCGGCCGCGGCGUUACGAGGCGCCCGACGCGCCCUCGUUCUCGCUCGGAUUGGACGACGACGACGGGGGCGCCAGCGAACCCCACCACCUCCCCGCUGGAGACCGCCGGGAGGAGCAGGCGCCGCGCUACGAGGCGCCCGACGUGCCGUCGUUCUCACUCGGCAUCGACGACGACGACGACGACUUCGUUGCCGCCGGAACCAUGGACCCGGACCCCCUGCUUCCGCAGCCGGGGACGAAUCGACUGAGGAGGUUGCGGAGGGGUCCUGCGCCGGGUUACGAGGCGCCCGACGCGCCCUCGUUCUCACUCGGAAUCGACGACGACGACGACUUCGUUGCCGGCGGAGCCCUUGACCCGGACCCCCUGCCUCCUCAGCCGGAGACGAACCGGCUGAAGAGGUUGCGGAGGGGUCCCGCGCCGCGAUCUAUGGUGCCUCCUCCUCCCCCUCCCCUUCCUCCUAGGGCAGCACCACCCCUGGCUACGGAAGCAUCUCCAGAUUUCAGCCGGAAGGCGGCACCUCUUGGGGAUAUUGGGAGCUACGAGGACGAAAUUGAAGGUUUCAGUGACGAGGAGCCACCACGAGGCAUGACACCAUCAGUUGGUAGUUGCAGGACUUCUAGCAAUUCAAAAUUCUCUCUUCUGAACCGCAGUGUACUGAUGUCUCAAUCAACAAGCAAAGCAAAGACAACAAAAUCUACACCAAUGUCAAAUUCUGUUGCUUCAAAACCUCUAGAAGAAAGCCGCACGAAGAAGCUACUUCCUAAGAUAACAAUAAGCCCACUGAGGAAAAUUUAUUUUGUUGAUUCGGACACUGAUUCAGAUGAUAACAGGAAACAAAGUAAACCAAAGAAGCCCAUGAGUCCUAUCAAGAAGAGACAGGAAUCCAUGCACAAGUAUAUGCAGAAGAAGCCUAUAUUGCAGCAAAACAGUAAAUCUGAAGGGAGCACUGUUGUCCAGAAGAGUGAAGAUAUACUGAAGGACAGUUGGGCAACACCUGCUCUUGAUGACUUCUGCAGCGAGUAUUUCAAAUCUGUCCAACACUCAACGCCAUCCCAGCAGACAAAAACCAACAGUAUUUCUGGCUCCAAGGUUUCACGACCAUACAGCUCUGUUAGUGAAAUUGGGGGACAUUUCCAGCAUGAAAGCACUUCAACCAGAGUUGGACUCGAAGAGAAUCUGACGGACAACCAUCCACCUGCCAUGCAUUAUUUCUGUCACCGUGAUCAGAUGGUGCAGAACCUGGUCCGUGAAAGAUUAAAGCACUUUGUUCCCAUUGGGGCUGGCACUUCCGAGGGAAAUGAGUACAGUGUAGAAGAAAAUCUGAACUACAGUAGGAGCCAGUUUGGCCAGAGUAGUGGUGCUAAUGAUCGGUGGGUGACUCCCAACAGUAGGACUUCUGUCCCAACAGAUUUUGGCAAAAGAAGGGUACAUGCUGGGGGGAGUCAGUCUGGCUCUGGCCAUUGGUUCACUGGAGAGGAUGGCAGGAAGGUUUAUGUCUCUAAAAACGGACAGGAGUUAACUGGCCGUGAUGCCUAUAAACAAUACAAAAAGGAAAGUGGCAAGGGAUUUCGCAACUUCAAGAAGAAAAGUACAGUCAAGAAGGAAGGUUCUGCUAGAGCCAAGCGGGGUUCUUCUACGGCAAACAAGGCCAGUUCCAGUUCCACAGCGAAGCGAAGUUCGGGAGCCAAAAGGAAGCGAUGA
rnacentral:rRNA from 1 species